AUGGAGGCCUGUCGACUCAGUCGCUACCCUUUCCCCCACUCAUCAUCCCUGAAAGGGCACUGCUGAGACUUCUGCCCCUCUGAUUGCACAGCUGGGACAGUCCCUGCAGUCCCAGGAAGGGGUUUUGCCCGAGCCACUCUGCUGCUGUGUGGCUCAGCCUGACUCGAAAGAGCCUGGGGCUCCCCAGGCUGGGGCUCCGAGAGUGCAGGGCAGGGCCGGGCGGGGUGCGGGCCGGGCGGGGUGUGGGCCCGGCACUCACCAAGGCUGCUUCUCACCAGUGCACGGAUCCAGACGGGCGGGCUGUGGACCGGGCACGGGCCUGGUGCGAGAUGGUCGGCAUCCAGUACUUCAGAUUGAACCCCCAGCUGGGGACGGACAUCAUGCUGGAUGAGGUCAGUGACACAGUGCUGGUCAACGCCCUCUGGGAGACCGAGGUCUACAUCUAUGAGCACCGCGAGGAGUUCCAGAAGCUCAUCCAGCUGCUGCUCUCACCCUGAGGGUCCCCAGCCUCUCACCGGCCCCAGCUGACCUCGUCCAUUCAGCCCCUGCCAGGCCAGGCCCAGCCACUGCCCUCCCGGGCAGAUCUGGGCCCAGGCACCUCUGAGUCCAUAGACCAGGCCUGGGAGAAUGCCAAGCUGCCUGCCCGAGGCUGGUCCUGAAGGCCUGUCUCCCACUAACCCCGCCUUCCAGCACUUUCUGUCAUUCCAGGCUGGGAAAGUUUAGAGCCCCCUUUGGCCCCUUUCCCUGACUGUCAAGGACAACUGACUCCCCCAUCAGCUCAAACAU
rnacentral:sRNA from 1 species